AUUUUGUGAGUUUUACUGAGGAGGUUUUCAUUGUGUUGUGAUUGUCAAAUCAGCUUUAUACUUUUCGAAGUAUUCUAUAUACGGGCUAAUACCUGAAUCAGAAAUAGUCCUGAUUGUAAGAUCUGGAUAUCUUAUUCAGUUUCUCCAGCUGUUUUUCCACGAAGGAGAAUCCUCUGACUCAAGCUGGCAGUGUCUGAACUUACUUCACAGGUGGCUACUUCGAAGGGUUUGAGUACCUUGAACAAGACAGAAGGUAUUCUCCACUGUGCUGGGCUAAGGGACGUCAGAUCAAAGAGAGAAACAGGAACCACACUGAAUGACUUUCCUCCUAAGUGAACUGUUUAAUGCUUUCCAAUAUAAUAGGACUGUACCACAGGGUAUUUAAUCUAAAAACUGUAGUGUGACUGAGUGUGUGCAGAAGUGAUUUCCUAAUUUUGAGUUUUGCACACAAGGUUAUAUUUGACACGUAUUAUCAGCAUUCAUAUAAUUUGCAGAGCCUUCAUCAAAUUUCAGUAUUCUGGACAUUGGUAUUCAGUGUAUUAAUGUUGGCAAUACUAAAAGGAACAUUUUAGGACCUCUUGGAGAAUAUGUAUUAUGUUUUAUGUGAAUAUUCAGAAUUUGUGUACAUUGUGUAUAUUAGGGAUGUGCAAGCUUUGGAUUUGACAAAUCACUGUGACUGGCUUUGGACUUGGAUUUGUUUCAAAAAUGUAUUAAAAAAA